rnacentral:rRNA from 1 species
AAACGACUCUUGGCCACGGAUAUUUUGGGUUUUGCAUUCGAUUGAAGAACGCAGCGAAAUUCGAUUCUUGGUUUUGAUUUGUAGAAUCCCGCGUAACCUUCGAGUUCUUUGAACGCAAGUUGGCGCCCGAAGCCCUUUUGGCCGAGGGCACGUUUGCCUUGGUUUUUACGC